UACGAAGGGGGCGAGCGUUGUUCGGAAUUACUGGGCGUAAAGGGCGCGCAGGCGGCUCUGAAAGUCAGAUGUGAAAGCCCAGGGCUCAACCCUGGAAGUGCACUCGAUACUGCUUCGCUUGAGUACUGGAGAGGUCGGUGGAAUUCUCGGUGUAGAGGUGAAAUUCGUAGAUAUCGAGAGGAACAUCUGUGGCGAAGGCGGCCGACUGGACAGAUACUGACGCUGAGACACGAAAGUGUGGGGAGCAAACAGG
rnacentral:rRNA from 1 species